CCCCAACGUCUCUAGGAUUAGGCAAUGGUUAUGGCUAUGGAUAUGGUUAUGGUUAUGGUUAUGGUUAGGUGCCUUGAAGUCAACGCUCACAGCGCUGCCUGGGAGGAGACGUUGGGGGCUUAAAACACAAUCGAGCGGCAUCUACAUUAACACAGGUAC